rnacentral:rRNA from 1 species
UAACGAAUCUUCCGCAAUGCGCGAAAGCGUGACGGAGCAAUGCCGCGUGCAGGAUGAAGCCCUUCGGGGUGUAAACUGCUGUCAGGGUUUAGGAAGCACGUGACCAAACCCAAAGGAAGAGGCGACUAACUCUGUGCCAGCAGUCGCGGUAAUACAGAGGCCUCGAGCGUUAGUCGGAAUCACUGGGCUUAAAGCGUACGUAGGCGGAUCUGCAGGCGUCGUGUGAAAUCCCUCAGCUCAACUGAGGAACUGCACGGCGAACCGCAGGUCUUGAGACAAGUAGGGGCGGUCGGAACGAUAGGUGGAGUGGUGAAAUGCGUUGAUAUCUAUCGGAAUGCCGAAGGAGAAAUCAGGCCGCUGGGCUUGUUCUGACGCUGAGGUACGAAAGCGUGGGGGAGCGAACGGGAUUAGAUACCCCGGUAGUCCACGCCGUAAACGAUGUGCACUAGAUCGAGGAGGUUUUGACACCAUUCUCGGUCGAAGU